ACCAAAUAUGUAUUGACCACACAAAUGCAUAUACAAUAAAUCAUACAAGAAUGUGGAGGAAAACUUGAAUAGCUUUAUUAAUAUCAAGAAUAGUAAAGAGGAUUGCAACCAAUUGUUCUGACCCAGCAUCAUCCUCUAGAAAGAAAGCCCUUCUUCACCUCAUGUAAAGCUUAGAUCACCCAACACUAUGAUGUUACACCGGGAAACCAACAACACUUCUCUACAAGAUACAAGAUUCCAACCUCUGGAUCUCUGUGAUGAGGGAUCCAUAUAUAAAUGAUUGUAGGGGGUGUGUCAGCUUGUAGUUUUUUUAUUAGUGUCCUCUCUCUGAUAGUUCUUGAUUCCACUUGGAGAUUGAUUAUCUCUUACUCAUCCCUGGGUGAAUUCAGAGAGGCAAGUGUCAGAGGAGAAGUUUCUGGAAGAUUCUAUGAUCCUCCACCUUGCCAACUGUAUUUUCCAUUUGUCCAUUCUCACCCAUCGCACUCUACAGAAGGGAUUUCUAGUAUGCAUCGCACCCUUUACACUGAGUAGGUGAUAUGCAUCACACCCUCUACAUUGGGCAUUCUGUAUGGUACAACUUUGAGCAGUUCUGAGCAGGUUUCUAUGGAGAACUUCUGGGAGAUGAUGUAAUCAACUGACCUUGUUCCUUUAGGGAGUAAAGCAACAAUUUUAGGGACUUAGGAGCCUUUGGUUUAUGGACAUUUAUGAUUGGGUUUGCAGUGCCCAAAAAUGUCUAUAACAAGGGGCAUAAUGCCCUCGACCUAUUCUCAAACUUUAAAUAGGUAAGAGGGUGUGGCUGGUCCAUUGAUCUGUACCGUGGAAUUGAGAGCUCCAAGUGGGCCAGUUUGGUAAGCAGGACUGGUGAUACGAGAUGAACCAAAAGUCGAGUUACGGUGCCAAAUUGCAUGCUAACCUAGAUCCCACAAAGGGUGUUGGUUGAUUAAGACAUUAGGACAGUGGUCAUGGAAGUCAAAAUCCGCUAAGGAGUGUGUAACAACUCACCUGCCAAAUCAACUAGCCCAAAAACUGGAUGGUGCUAAAGCGCACAACCUAUAUUCGACCAUCAGAGAAAUUUCCUGGCUUCGAGGAGUAGGAGGAUGCAAGGGUCAUUGAGAAACCUCGGGCGUGACCUUGGGUGUAUCAGCCCCCGGUGCAAAUCUUGGUGGUAGUAGCAAAUAUUCAAAUGAGAACUUUGAAGACUGAAGUGGGGAAAGGUUCCAUGUGAACAACACUUGGACAUGGGUUUGUCAAUCCUAAGUGAUGGGGAAGCCUUGUAUCAAGGGUGCACUCUACACGAGCAUCGAAAGGGAAUCGGGUUAAUAUUCCUGAACUGGGACAUGGCAGCAGGCGACAAGGUUAGGAAAUCUGGAGACGUUGUCAGGGGCCCCGAGAAAAGUUAUCUUUUCUUUCUAACAACUUGCCCACCCUAGAAUCGGUUCACACGGAGAUAGGGUCCAACAGCUGGAAGAGCACCACACGUCUUGCAGUGUCCAGUGUGCCCUCGGAGGCCUUGAAAAUCUAGAGGACCGAGUACCGUUCAUGCCCAGUCAUACUCAUAACUGCAUCAGGUCUCCAAGGUGAACAACCUUUGGUUAAUAGAACAAUGUAGGUAAGGGAAGUUGGCAAAACAGAUCCGUAACUUCGGGAAAAGGAUUGUCUCUGAGGGCUAGGCCUAGGGGUAUAUGCCCUCAACUCAUGGGCUACCAGCAGUUUGCUCGAGCUGCUCUUGCAGCAAGGGUGGGCAGUCACGUGCUGAUUGGGCUAUGAGUGUAGAAUGCGCCCUGCCGGGGGCUUUUUCCUAGGCAUCGAACAAUCCACUCAGAAAUGGUACAAACAAGAGGAAUCUGACUAUUUACUUAAAACAAAUCAUUGUGAUGGUCCCUACAGAUGCUAACACAAUGUGAUUUCUGCCCAGUGCUCUGAAUGUCAAAGUGAAGAAAUUCAACCAAGCGCGGGUAAACGGCGGGAGUAACUAUGACUCUGCCUCGUCAUCUAAUUAGUGACGCACAUGAUUGGAUUAACGAGAUUCCCACUAUCCCUAUCUACUAUCUAGCGAAACCACAGCCAAGGGAACGGGAUUGGCAGAAUCAGCGGGGAAAGAAGACCCUGUUGAGCUUGACUCUAGUCCAACUUUGUGAAAUGACUUGAGAGGUGUAGAAUAAGUGGGAGCCGUUUUCGACACAAGUGAAAUACCACUACUUUUAUCAUUAUUUUACUUAUUCCUUGGGGUGGAUAUGGGGCAUUACCCCUGUUUUUGGCCUUAAGGCACAUUUCAGCAGGUUGAUCGAGGCAGAAGACAUUGUCAAGUGGGGAGUUUGGUUUGGGAAACACAUCUAUUAAAAGAUAAUGCAGGUGACCUAAGAUGAGCUCAACGAGAACAUAAAUCUCGUGUGGAACAAAAGGGUAAAAGCUCAUUUGAUUUUGAUUUUCAGUACAAAUACAAACCAUGAAACCGUGGCCUAUCGAUCCUUUAGAUUUUUAGAAUUUGAAGCUAGAGGUGUCAGAAAAGUUACCACAGGGAUAAAUGGCUUGUGGCAGCCAAGCAUUCAUAGCGACGUUUCUUUUUUAUCCUUCGAUGUCAGCUCUUCCUAUCAUUGUGAAGAAGAAUUCACCAAGUGUUGGAUUGUUCAUCCACCAAUAGGGAACGUGAGUUGGGUUUAGAUCUUCAUGAGACAGGGUAGUUUUACCCUACUGAUGAACUGCACCGCAAUAGUAAUUCAACUUAGUAUGAGAGGAACCGUUGAUUCACAAAAUUGGUCAUUGCGCUUGGUUGAAAAGCCAGUGACGCGAAGCUACCAUGUGUCGGAUUAUGACUGAACACCUCUAAGUAAGAAUCCAUGCUAGAAUUGGUGCAUGUCACUCUUAGACUGUAUCUCAACCCAUAGUAGGGGCAUCGCUUUAUCACCCCCAGGGGCUUGUGUCAUUUUCAAACCGCGACCGUGAAGCAUCUCGGUCGGGGUAGCUUUGAAGUUCAAUUC
rnacentral:rRNA from 1 species